CGCCGCGUGGACGAUGAAGGCCCUUGGGUCGUAAAGUCCUGUAAGGUGGGACGAAAUAAAUGACGGUACCACCAAAGUAAGCUCCGGCUAACUUCGUGCCAGCAGCCGCGGUAAUACGAGGGGAGCAAGCGUUGUUCGGAAUCAUUGGGCGUAAAGGGCGCGUAGGCGGUCUGGCAAGUCUAAGGUGAAAUCCCUCGGCUCAACCGAGGAACUGCCUUGGAAACUGCCGGACUUGAGUUCCGGAGAGGAAAGCAGAAUUCCCAGUGUANCGGUGAAAUGCGUAGAUAUUGGGAGGAAUACCGGUGGCGAAGGCGGCUUUCUGGACGGAAACUGACGCUGAGGCGCGAAAGCUAGGGGAGCAAACGGGAUUAGAUACCCCGGUAGUCCUAGCCGUAAACGAUGGACACUUGGUGUUGGGGGUAUUGAGUCCCUCAGUGCCGUAGUUAACACGAUAAGUGUCCCGCCUGGGGAGUACGGUCGCAAGACUGAAACUCAAAGG
rnacentral:rRNA from 1 species